AGUGAACGCUGGCGGCGUGCUUAACACACGCAAGUCGAACGAGAACGGGUUAUAGCUUGCUAUAAUUGUCAGCUAAGUGGCGCACGGGUGAGUAAUGUAUAGGUAAUAUGCCUCUUACUAAGGGAUAACAAAUGGAAACGUUUGCUAAUACCUUAUACUCCUUAUUAACAUAAGUUAAUAAGGGAAAGAUUUAUUGGUAAGAGAUUAGCCUGUAUUGUAUCAGUUAGUUGGUGGGGUAAUGGCUUACCAAGACUAUGACACAUAACUGGUUUGAGAGGAUCAUCAGUCACACUGGAACUGAGACACGGUCCAGACUCCUACGGGAGGCAGCAGUGGGGAAUAUUGCACAAUGGACGAAAGUCUGAUGCAGCAACGCCGCGUGGAGGAUGACACAUUUCGGUGCGUAAACUCCUUUUAUAUGAGAAGAUAAUGACGGUAUUAUAUGAAUAAGCACCGGCUAACUCCGUGCCAGCAGCCGCCGUAA
rnacentral:rRNA from 1 species